GUGGGGGAUAUUGCACAAUGGGGGGAACCCUGAUGCAGCGACGCCGCGUGAGCGAAGAAGUAUUUCGGUAUGUAAAGCUCUAUCAGCAGGGAAGAAGGAGACGGUACCUGACUAAGAAGCCCCGGCUAAAUACGUGCCAGCAGCCGCGGUAAUACGUAUGGGGCAAGCGUUAUCCGGAUUUACUGGGUGUAAAGGGAGCGUAGGCGGCCUGGCAAGUCUGGUGUGAAAUCCCGGGGCCCAACCCCGGGGCUGCAUUGGAAACUGCCAGGCUGGAGUGCCGGAGGGGCAGGCGGAAUUCCUAGUGUAGCGGUGAAAUGCGUAGAUAUUAGGAGGAACACCGGUGGCGAAGGCGGCCUGCUGGACGGCAACUGACGCUGAGGCUCGAAAGCGUGGGGAGCAAACAGGA
rnacentral:rRNA from 1 species